rnacentral:rRNA from 1 species
GAUGAACGCUGGCGGCGUGCCUAAUACAUGCAAGUCGAGCGAACGGACGAGAAGCUUGUUUCUCUGAUGUUAGCGGCGGACGGGUGAGUAACACGUGGAUAACCUACCUAUAAGACUGGGAUAACUUCGGGAAACCGGAGCUAAUACCGGAUAAUAUUUUGAACCGCAUGGUUCAAAAGUGAAAGACGGUCUUGCUGUCACUUAUAGAUGGAUCCGCGCUGCAUUAGCUAGUUGGUAAGGUAACGGCUUACCAAGGCAACGAUGCAUAGCCGACCUGAGAGGGUGAUCGGCCACACUGGAACUGAGACACGGUCCAGACUCCUACGGGAGGCAGCAGUAGGGAAUCUUCCGCAAUGGGCGAAAGCCUGACGGAGCAACGCCGCGUGAGUGAUGAAGGUCUUCGGAUCGUAAAACUCUGUUAUUAGGGGAGAACAUAUGUGUAAGUAACUGUGCACAUCUUGACGGUACCUAAUCAGAAAGCCACGGCUAACUACGUG